GUCUACGACCAUGCUACCCUGAACAACCCCGAUUCCGACUGAUCUCGUAAGCUAAGCAGGGUCAGGCCCGGUUAGUACUUAGAUGGGAGACCACCUAGGAAGACCAGGUGCUGUAGGUG
rfam:Pteropus alecto contig93579, whole genome shotgun sequence.